rnacentral:rRNA from 1 species
UACGUAGGGGGCAAGCGUUGUCCGGAAUCAUUGGGCGUAAAGCGCGUGUAGGCGGCCCGGUAAGUCCGCUGUGAAAGUCGGGGGCUCAACCCUCGAAUGCCGGUGGAUACUGCCGGGCUAGAGUCCGGAAGAGGCGAGUGGAAUUCCUGGUGUAGCGGUGGAAUGCGCAGAUAUCAGGAGGAACACCGAUAGCGAAGGCAGCUCGCUGGGACGGUACUGACGCUGAGGCGCGAAAGCGUGGGGAGCGAACAGG